ACAACCUUGCAAAGAGAUGUCUUACUACCUAGUUGACUCCUUCCAGCAACCAACAGUUCCAAGCUGGAAAGCAUUCAGUAUUUUUAUUUAACUAGCUUACAGAAGGCUUAAAUUACAAAAGAUAUUCUUUCAGACCUACAGUAUAACACAACAUCAGAUCGCACAGCUACAACAACACAGAUUAGUCAGACCUGAAUCACAGAAAGAUUCACUUCCAUGGCAUGCUUGAAAUGCCCUGGGGGUUGCUGUUAUUGCAGGCUCCAGUACUCUGGUUAAGUGGACUACCAGGCCCACCUGAGGAUUCACUAAGAGUCCCACGUGAUUGUGGGCUGCUUGGUCCAGUUGUCCCUAGUGCUGGGGCAAAUUUCAUCAUUGCAGAUAAGGGUUCGAUUUGAUUUGCUGACUUUGAUUCCUUGCGACCAUCUGAAAUGAAACUUGCCACAACUACCUGAACAGGAGAUGCAGCUGUUAGAAGACCCGCUACACCACCACCUAGCACACGACCAUCUGGCCCAGAUAAAGACACACUUAAUCCCCCAGUUCUGCUCCUUUGACCCCCAUUUUCUGAUGGCAGAAAUGAGCCAGACAGUGACAAAAUUUCAAAUCGCCCCUCAUAAGUGACAGUUCCACCAGAUGUGGCCUGUUGGCGAAGAGUCACAUUGGAUAUGGCACCAUUUGCUGACAGUAUACAAACCGCCCUUGGACCAUUAUGAGAAAAUGACAUUAUUUUGGAUGAUACAUCCUCUCCAGCUUUCACAGUGAUAACAUGUGGUGUAAAUCCAACCCCAGCUGAUCCCAGCGCUUCCAGUUGCUGCUUCUUGCUAGAACCAGGGGGUCUGCCUCUCGCUUUCUUGGACCCAGUUGGCGAGACUGAUCCGCCCGGAGGAAGAGGACUAGUAACAGCAGCACCCGCAGAAGGAUGAGGAGAAGAGAAACCGCCUCUACUUGUCUGGGUUACAGACUGAGAUGCAGGUACAAGAGCCAAAGCCAUAGUACCAUCAGGCCCGUACUUCCUCGGCCUCCCUCGCUUCUUCUUCAAUGUCUCAGACACGCUACCCAUGUUCAUGUUGACGUUAAUCCCAUGGGGUGACACUGCAGCUCCGCCGGGUGAUCCUUCCAUACCACCACCACCGCCGGCGGCACCAGAUGAGGAAGGAGGUUGGUACG
rnacentral:misc_RNA from 1 species